rnacentral:lncRNA from 1 species
UGCAAAUUCCGAUGUAUUCCUACAGGCAAGGGGCAAGCACUUCUUCUAUCAGUUCUUGCUUUCUGAGAAAGUGCAGUGCAAUGGCUGGAGCUCCACCAGCCAUCUUGCAUCAUGAGAAUCACCUUGAAAAUGGAAAUCACACAUGGUAGAGCAACGAGAUAGAAGGAAAGUGGGUCUCUGAGACCGUGGAGUGCCAUCCCAGCCCUGGACUGACUCCUUCUGGACUUCAAGAACAUGAGGGAGAAAUAAACGAUCUUGUUUAAGCUCCUGCUCUUCGAAGUGCGUCCCAAGGACCAGCAGCACUGGCAUCUCCUGGGAGCUUGUUAGAGAUGUACGAUCUUGUGUGCCACCCCGACCUACUGGAUCAAUAUCUACGGUUUAACUAGAUCCUCAGUGAUUUGUAUGCCUGUUCAAGUUUGAGAAACACUGGUUUAACCCACUGUUGUUGGCUUAACCUAAUUCUGACUGAUUGUGGCUGCAGUGGCCUUGCUGAUGCUGGUGACUGAGAGCCCCUUGUUAUUUCCAGAGUCUAUGGAGGCAGUGGCUUCCAGGAAAGCCAUCCGUGACUCAUGGAGUACUGUUCUCCAAACGGUCCUCAUCCCAAUCUGGCCUUGCAGAGCUCUAUGCAAAGAACAGAGCCACCAGAAGCAGUGGGAGAAAUCAGAACUCCGCAGCCUGUGGGUGCGUCUCUGGAAUUGGCUCACAUAAUUACAGAAGCCAAGAAGUCCCAUGAUCUGCCGUCUACAAGGUGAAGAACCUGGAAAGCCAGUGGUGUCGUUCAGGCCAAGCUGGAAGGCUGAGACCCAGGGGAGCGAUGGUGUAACUGCCCGUCUGCAGCUGAAGGCCUGAGAACCCGGCCGGGGGUGUGGGCUGCUGCUUGACCUGGGACAUCUGCUGGGUAAUUCUGCAUUGGAGAAAGGACCAUUGAACGUUGGCUCUGAGCUGAAACUGACUCCUGGAAACUCAAAACGCCACUGUGGUCUCCCAGCUGGGGGAUUUUGAGGCUAAGGGGAUAAUUGGAUUUCUGACCCAAAACCACCUCAGUGAAGGCAAUGGGAGCCAGACCACAUCCCAUAUUUCUUUGCCAAGAUUUUGAGUGGAGUGUUUGAUUGGACAUGCUUGGAAAUUGACAGAAUCUCCACACCGACUCCUUGGUUUGUGGAAUAAUGGCUAAUGUAGGGAAGGGCCAAAUGGAAGCCUCUGGAAUUCCACCUCCCAAUCAAAGUGAUUAGCCCGUAAAGUUCCACAUCCUAGGGGAAUGUCAGAUAUUAGUGCCAACAUCGAACAUUUGCAAAACUGCAGCAAUGGUGAUCCCUGUUAUGCUCUUAGAGAGCUUGCCUGCUUAGUUGGUGCAGAAGACAGAUCAAUCUUGGAGAAUAACUACAGAUCUUUGUAAGCUUAUUCAAGUGCUGACUCCAAUUUUAGCUGUUAUCUUAGAUGAAUUGAUAAAUUUACCCAGCCCAAGGUAUCACAGCUGGUAAAUCUUUGCUUUUUUUAAAUCCCUAUGAGCAUAAAGGCAUCAGGAAUUCAAUAGUUAGAUCUCACCUGAAAAGGAUAGCAGUCAUCUUCAUGAUGUGUUCUCCGGGCGACAUCAGUCUUCUGGCUCUGUGGCACAAUUCACCCCCACUGGUCCAUCACCCUACAUGCUAUAAUCCCAGUCUCCUACAUGGCUGACAACAAGCUCACAGGUCAUGGAGAGUAGAAGGUAACAGGUACUUAAACGUUUUUGUAAGACAUCUAUGCGCUACAGGACAGACAAUAAAUCCCCCAAAAUACAGGGACUUGGCCACCUCGCUGACAUUUUGAGAAGCUGGUGUCUGGGACAUAUUGGGAUAUUCCCUCCAAAGUGAAGGAGAAAUCGACUCACUGUGUCCCCUGCUACAAAGAAGGAGGUGUGAUGCUUUGUGAACUGCUUUGGACUUUGGAAGGAACGUGGAAAGAACCAAACAUCACAUUUGGUUGUGCUCUUCUGAUUCAUUUACUGAGUGAGCCACAAGACUCGCAGUUCUGGGCAGGGCUCAGAGCAAGAGGAGGCUCUUCAGCUGGGACAGACUAUAACCGAGGCAGCCCUGCUCUUUGGGCCUUAUAACCCAACAGGGCCAAGGGUACUAAGUUUCUUUAGUAGAUCAUUGAUGGGAAAAUCAGCACAAACACUAACAUUUUGGAGCAAAGCUAAGAUCUCUUCAGCAAGCAAAUAGUCUCCUUUUGACAAGCAGCGCUUGGCAGUAUUCUGGGCCUGGUAGAAAACCAGUACACCUGACCAGAGGAUGUCAGAUGGUCCUGCAACUUGUGCUUUCCCCUGUUAGCAGGGUGUUCUCUGCCCCACCAAACCAUAAAACUGAGCACGGCCUGCAACAUUCCAUCACCACCUCAAAGGGUCAUGGGCUCACACAGUCCUGAAGAUCAGUGGUAUGCCUAGCGUAUUUGGUACCCAGAGUCGGGGGUGUAUUGGUAAAUAUUUAGCAACCAACUCUUUUUGGGGUGAGAGCCCUGGUUUGCACAGUUUGUAUAUUUCCGUGGUGUAGAUGCUACCACUGUGGCUGAUUGCAGGCUACCAACAGGACAUCGCUGAACACAGUCAGAAAAGAUUUCACAACUGGUUCUCAGCAGCCAGUGCAAGCUGGCUCCAGCACGCCACCACCCAGAGUGGGCCAUUUUCCAAAUCCCCUUUCUCUAUGCAGUAAGAUUAUUUUCAGAAAACGAUCAUGAGAUGCAAUGAAUAAUAACUUCAGAAAAAGCACAGACAGCGGAAAUUUUCUUUUAUUGUAAUCAUGCUGGUAAACAUUUUUUAAAUAAAAAAGAAAAUUAAUAUCCAGUAAAAAAGAGGAGAAAAGGAUUGGCCAUAUGGUUUCUGGGCUGGCAUUUAAGGAGCUUAGAAGUCCCCACUCCAUCCUAACGAGUAAAAAGCUGAACGAACUGAAAAGCCAACAGCUUUCUUACAUCUCUCAGAGAAGUGAGGUCACAGGGCAAACGCUGCCCCCCAAAUUGGAGAGACUGACAGGCACACAGAAUGACAGCGUACCUGAGCAGAGACCCGGGAGCUGCAUUUUUUUUUUCCAAAAAAGGGAAAAGAAUUUUACCUAAAUAUUGUUCUGUCCCAGUAAUGAAGAACAUGACAGUUUCUGGUUUCCAGCCUUGGCUUCUGCAAGUGUGUCAGUGACUUCAUCAGAAUUGAACUUGUUUGAAUGCUGCUCUUCAGUGGACCGUACAGCCAGAUUCGACAAUCCAUCUUUGUUCAAUGGUUGAUCAAAGAACGCUUUUUGUUAAUCUUAAUUCCAAAAACUUUCUUACAUGUUAAGUAACAUGAACGAACUGUUCUGUAAAUACAAUUGUGUUGGAACACAGCCACUCACAUUUGUUUACAUCUUAUUUAUGGAGGCUUUUUUUUGCAGCCACAGCAAGCUGGGUAGUUGUCACAGACCAUGUUGUUUACGAGCCUAAAAUACUGAUCAGGCCCUUUAAGAAAAAGUUUGCCAGCCCCGACCUAAAGGAUUAAAAAUAAAAUGUAAUUUGUAUUUAAAGUGUACAAAAUUUGAAUAUAUUUUCAUCAAAAAUCCUAAACUAUG